GACGAACGCUGGCGGCGUGCCUAAUACAUGCAAGUCGAACGCAGUGGGGACGGGUGCGUAACACGUGGGUAACCUCCCAUCAGAGGGGAUAACACUUGGCAACAGGUGCUAAACCGAUACGGAUUGAUGUACCCGCGGUGCAUUAGCUAGUUGGUGGGGUAACGGCCAACCUAGGCCAAGAUGCAUAGCCGGCCUGAGAUGGUGAUCGGGCAAACCGGGACUGAGACACGGCCCAGACUGCUACGGGAGGGAGCAGGAGGGAAUCUUCGGAAAUGGACGAAAGUCUGACCGAGCAAAGCCGCGUGAGUGAAGAAGGUUUUCGGAUCGUAAAGCUCUGUUGUAAGAGAAGCGGUAUCUUACCAGAAAGGGACGGCUAACUACGUGCCAGCCGCCGCGGUAAUAC
rnacentral:rRNA from 1 species